CACAGCUGCGCCUGCUUAUGACUCAUUUGAGUCACUUAACGCAACAACAACAACAAAAAGGUGAAACCUGUUAAGAGGAAAGCAACUGAAAGCUACUCACAUAGUAGUCUCGGAUCACGGCGUAUGAAGAACGAAGUGCUUUCAAUCUGACUGGAAAUCCCUCAACGAAGGAGCAGCAGCUGUCUUUGCAGAUGAUCUUUGUGCACUGAGCGGCCCUAAGCAGCAGAACAGUCAGCAAAGAAAGCAGGAGGAACCUAAGCAGGAGCAUUCUCGAAGAUCUCGUCACACCGGUAUUAACCCUUUCGUAAGCCUGCAGCUGAAUCCUCAGGGGGAGGAGAAGUGCAGAAAAGCUCAGAGGUGCCUUUUUUAUAGCCCAAAAAUUCCUUCCCAUUUGGAGGUGUGAGCAUUUACUGGAAAAUUGAUUACUUAUCUCUUUUUUUUCUUCUUUUUUGGCUCGUCAUCAUUCAUUGAUGAGGCAUAUUUUACAUUUUUUGUAUUGCAUCAUUGGAAAUAUUUUCAUGAAUGAAUUGCAAACUCAUCUUGUUCUUUAUAAACCUACAGAGAGUUUUCUAGAUGUAUGCCAUUUUAAUUUAUAUUUAGAUAUUCCUUUAUUUUCUAGAUGCUACUUUCAUUUAUUAUUUUUUAAAAAGGCUGUCCUGCUUAAUUACUGGUGUUACAUUAGAUUUAUUAAUCCUAAUGGCAGAAUGGACAACUAUUCAUAGUAUGUAGCAGGUUAUUCAUUUUUACAAUGAAUAAUUAAUUUUAUAAAUGAACAGUCUUGUUCAUUCCGGUGAUCACCCUUUGCGACAGGUGUAGAUAAUAAGGAGGUAUUUAAACCCGAGUCACAAUAGGGCAUUUAUGUUUGAAUAAUUCCUCGAUUAUGAAUACCACCAUUAAAUGAGCGAUCUCAUGUUUUAUAAUUAACCACAACUUUAUGCAUUGAAAAGCAUCAGGUUAUCUAAUACACCACUUGGCUUGGAUUUGGAUAGACACUAGGGUUUAUUUAGUUAACAGUCUUAUAUUCCAGUUAUGUAGCUUAUAUGGUGUAUGGGAUGAUAGCUAAGCAAAUUCAUAAAGAGUUCUAUUAUUAGAUUCUGAAUUAUUAUUAGACUUGGUGCCAUUUUUUUUCAUUGGUGUGCCUUUUAAACAUCUGUUUAUUUCCCACAUCUGCCCUAUAUGAUUGAUUCUCUUAAAUGCAGACAGUUUACAGAAAAGAGGUUUAGGGUGGAGUUCAUCUAGGUAAACAGAAUGAGUGUGAAUGACUUGCAGUUCCAUGAUCUUAGUGAUAAAUCAGCCGCUGUUCAGGUUAACCCCUAAAUCUAGCAUCUGAGAUGUAAUGUGGUGAACCCAGCCCAUGAUGUAAACACCUCUUCCCGCUGUCUCAAAUGUGCUGAGGUGAGCAAUCGUCUUUACAACGAAGGCUUUGGUUUUGAUUACUGUAAUCCACUACUGAUUGUAAGACAGCUCACGUGUGUGUGAGUAUGAGAACUCAGACUUCCUGAUGCUUUUUAAUUUUGGACUCUUCAGUUUAUUUCCCUUAAAGAUUCUAUGUAUUACCCUACAACUGGUUAUAAAUAGAAGGUUUAGAACCAUUAACCACCCAAAGAACCUUUGAGGAACCAUUUUCCAAAGUUGUUGAGUAUCCAUCAUUUUGGUGUUUUAAAAUCAUCACAUUUAAAAAGAUCACUUUUAUUAUUUGUUAUAGGCCUUUGUCAUCUUUUAGCUCUCUCUCUCUUAUGUGGUGUGCCACUUGGUGGGGCAAAAGUGCCCAUGAUGCGUGUUCCUGCAUCUUUGAAAGCCAAGCAGGGACUCUGGAGCUGUGCCAUGAUUCAUAUAAUAAGGUAACUUUAAAAAUACACAUUCUGCUCUGUCAUAAGCUGUGUAUGCCACAUGCACCUUUGUCAGUCUCUUAAGUAGUGGAUUUUAGAGGAUUUGGAAUAGGUAGUUUAUCAGUAAUUCUUUCCAUCACUGAUAAAAUUCAACCUCAGAUUCAACCUUUUGUUUUGAUCAGGUUGUGUUUCUCAAGUGUCAACACCACAAAGAUUUCAAACACUUUACAAGAAUCUAAUCAUUCAUAAUAUUACCUGCAGUAAUAACUUAUGAGUCAGACUCUUUGCACUCCUGAUCAAAUCUGAGACUUGAAAGAAUGCUGCAAGGUGGUUGCGAUAUGAAAAUGAACUUGCUUGGUGCUAAAGGUGGUAUUAGGGGCAGCAGGAUGGUGACAGAUACUCAUUUUUAACGCAUAGGCAUUAAUCACAGAAUAAUUUUGACGAACUUUGUGGUUUUAUACUUCUUUUUUAGUGUGUGUCAUGGGAAUGUGUAUUAAUAGGGUAUGAACCAGAUUUAUUAGCACCGACAUUGAUAAGGAUCUUAAACAAUGUCAGAGCAUGAUGAAUAUCUAUGAACUGCAUCAGCAAAUGUAUGCGUCAACUGGCGUCAUCUUUUUUUUUUUCCUUUUCUUUUUUUUUUUUGCGUAGCAAAUGAAAAUGCGUGUGCUCGCAUUUUCACCGAGCAAAUCUUUGUUUUACAUAGAAUUGUACUCAAUUGACUAUUUUACCUAAAGAUUGACCAUAAGAAAUUUGAUUUGAGCACGUUCACGUUUGGUUAGCACGUUCGCCUCACACCUCCAGGGUCUGGGGUUCGAUUCCCACCGUGGCCCUGUGUGUGCGGAGUUUGCAUGUUCUCCCCGUGCUGUGGGGGUUUCCUCCGGGUACUCCGGUUUCCUCCCCCAGUCCAAAGACAUGCAUGGUAGGCUGAUUGGCGUGUCUAAAGUGUCCGUAGUGUAUGAAUGGGUGUGUGAGUGUGUAUGUGAUUGUGCCCUGUGAUGGACUGGCACCCUGUCCAGGGUGUACCCCGCCUUGUGCCCCAUGCUCCCUGGGAUUGGCUCCAGGUUCCCCCGUGACCCUGAAGAAGGAAUAAGCGGUAGAAGAUGGAUGGAAGGAUGUCACUGAUUUUCCUUUACAUCAGAAAUUAAGAUCACAAAGUGUGCAGUCCGUACCAGGUGUCCUAAAGUCUCCAUAUAUAGGGGAAAUUAGCACUUUGUUUUGUUUUGUUUAUUUUUUUUAAGCAAAAUGUCUUCCUAAAUUUUUCUUACUUGUAUUAUAUAAUAUAUAAAUAUAUAUAUUUUCCAGAUAGCCUUUAAGAAUGCCUUUGACAAAAGAAGGACGUAUUGAAAACGUCCCUAUGGCUGGAUCAGGAAGCUGUCACUAGGUUGCGAUGGACAUGCGAUUCCAUGCAUAACACCAGAUGUGUUAAUGCGAGUUCAUGAUGAGUGGAAGUGAUGACUCUGUGUGUGUUUACAAAGAAAUGGCAAUCAACUAGAGGAUAUUUUGUAUUUAAAUAGAGGGAUUUUUCGGUUUGUUUGUUUGUUUUUUUAAAUGCCAAAUGUCCUUUGAGGCAUCCAUGAAUGCGAUUAAAGUGUUUUUUGCCGGUCUGUAUCAAUAUGUUGCUGGCUUCGGGAAA